rnacentral:rRNA from 1 species
GACGAACGCUGGCGGCGUGCUUAACACAUGCAAGUCGAACGGAAAGGCCCUGCUUUUGUGGGGUGCUCGAGUGGCGAACGGGUGAGUAACACGUGAGUAACCUGCCCUUGACUUUGGGAUAACUUCAGGAAACUGGGGCUAAUACCGGAUAGGAGCUCCUGCUGCAUGGUGGGGGUUGGAAAGUUUCGGCGGUUGGGGAUGGACUCGCGGCUUAUCAGCUUGUUGGUGGGGUAGUGGCUUACCAAGGCUUUGACGGGUAGCCGGCCUGAGAGCGUGACCGGCGACAUUGGGACUGAGAUACGGCCCAGACUCGUACGGGAGGCAGCAGGCGGGAAUAUUGCACAAUGGGCGGAAGCCUGAUGCAGCAACGCCGCGUGCGGGAUGACGGCCUUCGGGGUAUAAACCGCUUUCGCCUGUGACGAAGCGUGAGUGACGGUAAUGGGUAAAGAAGCACCGGCUAACUACGUG